UGCUUUGCAAUUUUUGACCACCUAAUCAUAAUGAAGGAUAAUCAUCACGAGUUGAUAAACUAUAUCACUUUUUGUUUGAAAAAAAAUAUAUUAUGUUUUUGAAGGUUCGAUCUAGUUGUUGAUGCAAUGAAACAGCUACAUCUACGUCGAGCAAUAAAAAAAGGUUUGCAUUGAGACUUUGUAAGCUUUGGUUGUAGAACAACAUUUGCCAAAUGCUUCGAUUUUGUAAUUAGUUAGAAUCCCUUUCGAAUUCCAUAAAGAAGUUAACAUUCAUAUUAAAAAAAAGAAGCUAUUAUUAAAUACAUGUGUGGUUUAAAAAAAUUUAAGAGCCAAGACCCGAAAGAUCCGUAAAUAAAUCAAAUAAUAUUCAACUUCAAUCCAAAUUUCAGUUACACCACCAUAUGGAAUAUCUAACUUUCGGUAUCUAUCACUUUUAUGCGUAUACAUUUGUGUUGACAAAAAACAGAUGUAUAUUUUGGUACUUGUCUUUGUAUAUGGUCGUGUAAAAGAAUUACAAUCAUGCACAAGUUGUGGUAGAAUCGGCACGAGGUUUUUUAAUGUUAGUGGUGAGGGAAUUUCGAAACGUGUUUAAAACUCAAACAAAUGGCUGAAAAGAGUUGAAAAGCUUUGUUAUACCCACCAAUAUGUUUGGCUUCAUUACCUAAUGUCUUGCUUUGAUGUCUUUUCAAAGAUCAAUUCUAUCUUUAGCCUCAAGAAUAUAUAUAUAACCGAUGCAUAGUUUGAAAACUUAGCUUUGCUUCUCUUGUUAAACAUAUAACCUGACUAUCUUAAAAUUUUAUGUGUAUUUAGGUAAUCACUAACCUAUUUCCCCAUUUUGCAUGAAGUUCCAUGAUGGUGAGCUGUUCUUCUGGUGUGAUAUUUCCCCGUCGCACAUCAGGUCGGAGGUAGUUCAGCCACCGGAGCCGGCAACUUUUCCCGAUUUGGCGAGAGAGUUCCAAACACCUUCACCAUGAUUGGCGAUAUAAUUGAUGAGAAUCAAAUCUUCUUCCAUCGUCCAUGGCCCUUUUCUCACCUCUGCAUCUCCUGAUCCAGACCCACCACUACUUUCUCUUUUCUCCAUUUUUAUGAAAUGAAUCUAAAUAAGUACUCUAUAUAAUUGAUAGAUGAUGAUAUUUUUCUAGAGAGAGAAAUAGAAAGGGAGAGUUGUGAAAGUGAGAGAGAGAGUUGAUAUUUUGAGGUGGUGGGCAGGUAGCUACUGCUUUUAUAGAGAAGGUUUUUCAAGAGUUUAAGGCAUUGUUAAUAACCUUUAAUCCAAAAUCUUAAAUGUCUUUUAGAUACUAAUUAGCGACACAUAUUGUCGUUUUUACUUUAUUUUAUAAAUUUUCAUAACACAUGGGGAGCUAGUGCAGCUUCAAGACC